CCCCGAAGACAGCAUCUUCUCCAGGGGCCUCGGGGAUGGAUUUGAUACUGAGGGGACAGAAAGUGCAUCUGUGGUCCUCAGAUCUGCAAUCCUGUGCUAAGCACAGAGUACACAUGCAUGCCACAGUGUAAGAUGAAAGGAAGAGCGAACGCCAAAGGACGAAGCCAGACUCUCAAGAGUGCCUGGAGAGCUGAGCUUUCUGCCUACAGCCCUACACCCUGGAGCCAGCUUGGUCUGAAACAUCUCCAUCCAGUCUGGCUUUUCUCAUCUCCCUGGCUCAGUCUCUCAUCCAUCUCUCUUCUUCUGUUCCCCCAGAAAUGAAGAUCUACUUAUCCAUCCAUUCAUAAAACCAUUCAGGAAUUCACAGAAUGACCAAUACACUCAAGAGUACGCAUUCACUUCUUCAAGGCUGAGCCACUGGUAUGUUUCUCAUUUAUUCAAAAGCUUUGUCUUUCAUCGCUCA
rnacentral:lncRNA from 1 species